CCUACGGGAGGCAGCAGUGGGGAAUUUUGGACAAUGGGCGAAAGCCUGAUCCAGCGACGCCGCGUGGAGGACGAAGGUCUUCGGAUUGUAAACUCCUUCUGCAGGGGACGAAAAAAAUGACGGUACUCUGCGAAUAAGCCACGGCUAACUACGUGCCAGCAGCCGCGGUAAUACGUAGGUGGCGAGCGUUACCCGGAAUCACUAGGCGUAAAGCGCGUGUAGGCGGUAUUUUAAGUCUGUUGUGAAAUCUUAUGGCACAACCAUAAAAGGUCGACAGAUACUGAAGUACUAGAGUGAGGCAGGGGAAACUGGAAUUCCAGGUGUAGGGGUGGAAUGCGUAGAUAUCUGGAAGAACGCCAAAGGCGAAGGCGGCCCUCUGGCGCUUGACUGACGCUGAGGCGCGAAAGCGUGGGGAGCAAACAGGAUUAGAUACCCGGGUAGU
rnacentral:rRNA from 1 species